rnacentral:rRNA from 1 species
GAGCGGCGGACGGGUGAGUAACACGUGGGUAACCUGCCCAAGAGACUGGGAUAACACCUGGAAACAGAUGCUAAUACCGGAUAACAACACUAGACGCAUGUCUAGAGUUUGAAAGAUGGUUCUGCUACCACUCUAGGAUGGGCCUGCGGUGCAUUAGCUAGUUGGUAAGGUAACGGCUUACCAAGGCAAUGAUGCAUAGCCGAGUUGAGAGACUGAUCGGCCACAUUGGGACUGAGACACGGCCCAAACUCCUACGGGAGGCAGCAGUGGGGAAUCUUCCACAAUGGACGAAAGUCUGAUGGAGCAACGCCGCGUGAGUGAAGAAGGGUUUCGGCUCGUAAAGCUCUGUUGGUAGCGAAGAAAGAUAGAGGUAGUAACUGGCCUUUAUUUGACGGUAAUUACUUAGAAAGUCACGGCUAACUACGUGCCAGCAGCCGCGGUAAUACGUAGGUGGCAAGCGUUGUCCGGAUUUAUUGGGCGUAAAGCGAGUGCAGGCGGUUCAAUAAGUCUGAUGUGAAAGCCUUCGGCUCAACCGGAGAAUUGCAUCAGAAACUGUUGAACUUGAGUGCAGAAGAGGAGAGUGGAACUCCAUGUGUAGCGGUGGAAUGCGUAGAUAUAUGGAAGAACACCAGUGGCGAAGGCGGCUCUCUGGUCUGCAACUGACGCUGAGGCUCGAAAGCAUGGGUAGCGAACAGGAUUAGAUACCCUGGUAGUCCAUGCCGUAAA